rnacentral:lncRNA from 1 species
CUCCACUAACAAAACUGAUUAAAUUCCUAAGAACAAUCCAUAGGAGAAAAUACAUAUUUCUCAGGCUAUUAUUUAAAGGUCUUCAUAAUCCACUCAGUGCAUACCUUUCCAUUCUUAUCUCCCACUACUCCCCUUUGUGGAAAGGAAACAAGACUGACAGUUUGUGGGGGAAGGGCCCAAGUGGGAGUGGCAGUUGGGUCUUGUGACUAGCACUUCCUUCCUGCCGGGUGGGACUUGCAUCCUGGUGUUGGAGGAGAGGGGAGCUUGUUCAGCCCAGUCUGGAGAGGCAUGCUCUUCUUGGUUCAGCCGAAGACACAGGCUUCUAAAGGAGAAUCAACACCACUUAAGACACAUUGCUGGGGACUGGGAGAACAUAAUCUGGAUCUCCUGGCAAGUUGUGGCCAUGUGGGUGGCAAUCAAGGUUCUGUCUGCACAUUCAUCAAGAAACCUGAGAUUUCUUCAAAAGACAGCUAAGGUGCUAUUCCCUAUAGCAGGCCUUUCCUAAUUCCUCUUGAGAUUAAUGUUCUCUUUUUCUGGAAUUUAUUUUGAAUGAAUUUGAAUGAAUUUAUCUUUAUAUAUGUUCUAUCUGCCCAGUAGAAGUUAAGCUCUUAAAAAAAAUCUUUGUAACAUCACUGUAGUCUAUUGGAAAUUGAAAUAGCAAUUACUCAGAAGAACAAAUGUUGAAUUGUAUGAAUUGAAUAUAAACUGGUUAUUUUCAAAAUGUUAAAUAGUUAAAAUGAAAAUUUUCAAACUUUCUUGUAGUGACCAUAAAUGUGUGCUAUAAAU